rnacentral:tRNA from 1 species
GGAGAGGUGGCUGAGUGGCCUAAAGCAGCGGUUUGCUAAACCGCCGUCCGGCGUAAGCCGGACCGAGGGUUCGAAUCCCUCCCUCUCCG